GGUGCUUCCACAAACCUGAAAUAUUUACCAGGACAUAAAUAAAUGGUAUCAUACAGAAUAGAUCUGAGGAUUCAUAGGAUGAGAGUCGAUGGUGGCGAACAAAAUAAGAUCAUUCUGAAUGCGUGUUUCUUGAUGCACUGGACAUGUGCAUGGAUCCAUACCACAAUGUACUCGUGCUGGAGGGAAUGAGAAAGAGGGUUCCAUCAUGAUAUGAUUGAUUCACACCAAACCACAAGAGGGAUCGUUGAAAAUUGAACAAAAUGAACCGUACCCACCACUGCGUUGACUUUCUUUUUCACAGUACACUGAUUAGAAUAGACCGGCAGAGUGUGGACAGGUUAUUUGUAAUAGUGUUGUGUAAACAGGGCCACGGUGACAAAAACCCUGGAAGUGUUAU
rnacentral:lncRNA from 1 species